rnacentral:rRNA from 1 species
AGAGUUUGAUCCUGGCUCAGAACGAACGUUAGCGGCGCGCUUAACACAUGCAAGUCGCACGAGAAAGGGCUUCGGCCCCGGUAAAGUGGCGCACGGGUGAGUAACACGUGGGUAACCUUCCUAGGAGCGGGGGAUAACAUUCCGAAAGGAGUGCUAAUACCGCAUAAGACCACGACCCCGAAAGGGGACGAGGUAAAAGCAGGCCUCUAUACAUAAGCUUGCACUCCUAGAUGGGUCCGCGGCCCAUCAGCUAGUUGGUAGGGUAAUGGCCUACCAAGGCUAAGACGGGUAGCUGGUCUGAGAGGAUGAUCAGCCACACUGGAACUGAGACACGGUCCAGACUCCUACGGGAGGCAGCAGUGGGGAAUCUUGCGCAAUGGGCGAAAGCCUGACGCCGCGACGCCGCGUGGGUGAUGAAGGCCUUCGGGUUGUAAAGCCCUGUGGGGAGAGACGAAUAAGUCGUAGCUAAUACCUCCGAUGAUGACGGUAUCUCCUUAGCAAGCACCGGCUAACUCUGUGCCAGCAGCCGCGGUAAGACAGAGGGUGCAAACGUUGUUCGGAAUUACUGGGCGUAAAGCGUGUGUAGGCGGCUAUGUAAGUCGGAUGUGAAAGCCCUGGGCUCAACCCAGGAAGUGCACUCGAUACUGCGUAGCUUGAGUACCGGAGAGGUUGGUGGAAUUCUCGGUGUAGAGGUGAAAUUCGUAGAUAUCGAGAGGAACACCGGUGGCGAAGGCGGCCAACUGGACGAGUACUGACGCUGAGACACGAAAGCGUGGGGAGCAAACAGGAUUAGAUACCCUAGUAGUCC